UAAUUUUUAUCUUUGAUAAAAGAAAACUUGUAAUUUUUAUCUCAAAUUUUUUAAUUGAAAAAAAAUAAUUAUUUUUUAUUUCAUAUUUAUAAGUUAGUUCACCCAUUAAGUUUAUUAAAUAUUAUAAAUUUAAUCUAUUAACUUAUCAAUCAACUAUCAUCUAUAAAUUCAUCAAUAAAGUUAAAAUUUUUAUAAUAGAUUAAAU
rnacentral:lncRNA from 1 species